GGCAAUUGGAAAGAAACUGUAGGAAACUGUAGGAAUAUGUUGUGGCUAAAACCAUACAUAUCCAGAAGGCACGUUAUUAAAAAUUGCCUCCCUGCACCCGACUUAUGUUGGGUUUUCAGGCAGUGUAGUUAGCUGAUUGUGUUAACAUAAGACUUGCAAUCACUAGCUAAACUACCAGCAAAACUAAACAUGAAAGUACUGUCUGACGUACCUGUGAAUAUUCCAACUUUUUCUAGAAGGUUCCUCAUUGCUGAUCAUAUUUAUUAUCUAAUCUGAAACUGUGCUGGACUGCUAAUGAGACACUCAUAUAUCUAUGUUCAAACUAUUAUAAUGGUACAAUAUGGAGUGUAAUAAUUCUAGAAAGAUGGCGGAUAUUGGCAGUCUAGUUACCAGGCAGUGUAUUUAGAAGAUUUGAUUUAAUAUCAAUCACUAACUACACAGCUAGGUUAAGAGGACUGAAAUGCAACAAUACAACUUUUUCAAGGAAAAUGAAAACCACUUUUCAAGAAGUUACAACAAUAAAGUUUACUGUACACUGUAGGUGUAGUGAUUCCGUUUACCAGAAAACAGAUUUAUUGUUUAUUGGUUUUUAUUAUCUUAAUUCAUUUUAUUGCUGCUUUUUUUAAUGUCUUGUCCAUAUUUUGUGUUAACAAUAAAUCAUAGGGGUUUUUUUCCAUUCA